rnacentral:rRNA from 1 species
GAUGAACGCUGGCGGCGUGCUUAACACAUGCAAGUCGAACGAAGCAUUUAGAACAGAUUACUUCGGUUUGAAGUUCUAUAUGACUGAGUGGCGGACGGGUGAGUAACGCGUGGGUAACCUGCCUUGUACUGGGGGAUAGCAGCUGGAAACGGCUGGUAAUACCGCGUAAGCGCACAAUGUUGCAUGACAUGGUGUGAAAAACUCCGGUGGUAUAAGAUGGACCCGCGUCUGAUUAGCUAGUUGGUGAGAUAACAGCCCACCAAGGCGACGAUCAGUAGCCGACCUGAGAGGGUGACCGGCCACAUUGGGACUGAGACACGGCCCAGACUCCUACGGGAGGCAGCAGUGGGGAAUAUUGCACAAUGGAGGAAACUCUGAUGCAGCGACGCCGCGUGAGUGAAGAAGUAAUUCGUUAUGUAAAGCUCCAUCAGCAGGGAAGAUAGUGACGGUACCUGACUAAGAAGCUCCGGCUAAAUACGUGCCAGCCGCCGCGGUAA